UUGUGAAUGAAGCUGGUUUUUAGGUGAAAUUGUCCCACAGUUCCACUAGAGGCCAUACCAUAGCUACUCCAUGGUUCUAUAAAAUGAAUUUUGAGGAGAGGAGGGGCCAGAAGCAGAGAGAAGAGAGAAGAAGAAAGCAGAGAAAUACUGAAACUCCUCUUCAUCAGCCUCUCCCCAAAGCAAAAGACUGAAACCAAGAAUAAAAAUGUUGCUCCUCCUGUUGCUCUUGGGGCCUAGUGCUGGUCUUGGGGAGCUCGUUUCUCAGAAGCCAAGCAGAGGGAUCUGGAAGAGUGGGACCUCAGUGAAGAUUGACUGCUAUCAAAAUGAGGGUCAAUUUACCACCAUGUUAUGGUACCAGCAGCUUCCACAGCAGGGUUUGGUGCUUAUUGGUAUUACAAACCAGGGCUUCUCAGCCACCUAUGAGAAGGGAUUUAAUGAAACCAAGUUCCCUAUUACUCAACUAGAGUCAAAAUCUUCCACUUUGACAGUGACUGGUGUGAGUCCUGAAGAUAGUGGCCUUUAUUUCUGCAGCACUAGUGACACAGUGAGAGAACUCCAUCAAAGUCUGCCACAAGAACCUUUGCUUUUCCUCUCUUAG